AGGAUGAACGCUGGCGGCGUGCCUAAUACAUGCAAGUCGAGCGAACGGACGAGAAGCUUGCUUCUCUGAUGUUAGCGGCGGACGGGUGAGUAACACGUGGAUAACCUACCUAUAAGACUGGGAUAACUUCGGGAAACCGGAGCUAAUACCGGAUAAUAUUUUGAACCGCAUGGUUCAAAAGUGAAAGACGGUCUUGCUGUCACUUAUAGAUGGAUCCGCGCUGCAUUAGCUAGUUGGUAAGGUAACGGCUUACCAAGGCAACGAUGCAUAGCCGACCUGAGAGGGUGAUCGGCCACACUGGAACUGAGACACGGUCCAGACUCCUACGGGAGGCAGCAGUAGGGAAUCUUCCGCAAUGGGCGAAAGCCUGACGGAGCAACGCCGCGUGAGUGAUGAAGGUCUUCGGAUCGUAAAACUCUGUUAUUAGGGAAGAACAUAUGUGUAAGUAACUGUGCACAUCUUGACGGUACCUAAUCAGAAAGCCACGGCUAACUACGUGCCAGCAGCCGCGGUAAUACGUAGGUGGCAAGCGUUAUCCGGAAUUAUUGGGCGUAAAGCGCGCGUAGGCGGUUUUUUAAGUCUGAUGUGAAAGCCCACGGCUCAACCGUGGAGGGUCAUUGGAAACUGGAAAACUUGAGUGCAGAAGAGGAAAGUGGAAUUCCAUGUGUAGCGGUGAAAUGCGCAGAGAUAUGGAGGAACACCAGUGGCGAAGGCGACUUUCUGGUCUGUAACUGACGCUGAUGUGCGAAAGCGUGGGGAUCAAACAGGAUUAGAUACCCUGGUAGUCCACGCCGUAAACGAUGAGUGCUAAGUGUUAGGGGGUUUCCGCCCCUUAGUGCUGCAGCUAACG
rnacentral:rRNA from 1 species